AGGGCUGUAGUUAAAAUAUAACAUUUAAUUUGCAAUUAAAAAUAGCUAAUAUAUAGUCUGCCUUA
rnacentral:tRNA from 1 species